GAUCAUGGCUCAGGAUGAACGCUAGCGACAGGCUUAACACAUGCAAGUCGAGGGGCAGCAUAGAAGUAGCGAUACUUGGUGGCGACCGGCGCACGGGUGAGUAACGCGUAUGCAACCUACCUAUCAGAGGGGAAUAACCCGGCGAAAGUCGGACUAAUACCGCAUAAAACAGGGGCACCGCAUGGUGAUAUUUGUUAAAGAAAUUCGCUGAUAGAUGGGCAUGCGUUCCAUUAGGUAGUUGGUGAGGUAACGGCUCACCAAGCCGACGAUGGAUAGGGGAACUGAGAGGUUGGUCCCCCACACUGGUACUGAGACACGGACCAGACUCCUACGGGAGGCAGCAGUGAGGAAUAUUGGUCAAUGGGCGGGAGCCUGAACCAGCCAAGUCGCGUGAAGGAAGAAGGAUCUAUGGUUCGUAAACUUCUUUUGCAGGGGAAUAAAGUGCAGGACGUGUCCUGUUUUGUAUGUACCCUGAGAAUAAGGAUCGGCUAACUCCGUGCCAGCCGCCGC
rnacentral:rRNA from 1 species